UACGUAGGGAGCGAGCGUUGUCCGGAUUCAUUGGGCGUAAAGAGCUCGUAGGCGGCCUGUUGCGUCCGCUGUGAAAGCCCGGGGCUUAACCCCGGGUCUGCAGUGGAUACGGGCAGGCUAGAGGUAGGUAGGGGAGAAUGGAAUUCCCGGUGUAGCGGUGAAAUGCGCAGAUAUCGGGAGGAACACCGGUGGCGAAGGCGGUUCUCUGGGCCUUACCUGACGCUGAGGAGCGAAAGCGUGGGGAGCGAACAGG
rnacentral:rRNA from 1 species